CAGCGCACAUGGGGCCUUAAUUGGCUUCCCUGUUGGGAGGAGGGUUAAUAGCCCGAGACCCAGGUCGGGGCUCUAACGGCGGCGGAGGGUGAAAGCCUUUCGUUGCGGUUUUGGGGUUCGGGCAGCGUUUCACCUCAUUUACUUUGAACAAAAUAGAGUGCUCAACACAGACCUUAGGGUCAUUGAAUAAUUCAGCAUGGGAUAAUAGAACAUGAGAUUGAAUUCAUUUUGUUGGUAUUAUGAAUUUAAACUAAUGAUUAAAAGGGACAGUUGGGGUGGUCUGUAUUGGGUAGCUAGAGGUGAAAUUCUUGGAUUUUCCCAAGACAAACUACUGCGAAAGCAAUCUACUAGGAUGUACCCAUUAAUCAAGAACGAAAGUUGGGGGAUCGAAGACGAUCAGAUACCGUCGUAGUCUCAACCAUAAACAAUGCCGACUUAGGAUAGGAGAGUGUUUUCUAUGACUUCCCCUGCACUAUACGAGAAAUCAUAAGUCUUUGGGUUCCGGGGGGAGUAUGGUCGCAAGGCUGAAACUUAAAGGAAUUGACGGAAGGGCACCACCAGGCGUGGAGCCUGCGGCUUAAUUUGAUUCAACACGGGGAAACUUACCAGGUCCGGACAACGCAAGGAUUGACAGAUUGAAAGCUCUUUCAUGAUUCGUUGGGUGGUGGUGCAUGGCCGUUCUUAGUUGGUGGUGUGAAUUGUCUGGUUGAUUCCGUUAACGAACGAGACCUUUACUGGUAAAUAGUCACGGGAAGGUUUUGCGUCAAGGCGUAGUGGGCCAACACUAGGAAGGAUCCGUUCCCCUAGAGUUGCCGAUCCAUUGCGUUGCAUUUCUUCCUGGAAGUACUUCUUACUAGGACUAUUAGUGAUAAGCUAAUGGAAGUUGGAGGCCAAAACAGGUCUGUGAUGCCCUUCGAUGUUCUGGGCCGCACGCGCGCUACACUGAUCGAGUCAACAAGUUUACAACCUUUUCCGAAAGGAAUGGGUAAUCUUUUGAAACUCGAUCGUGAUAGGGAUAGAUGAUUGCAAUUAUUUGUCUUGAACGAGGAAUGCCUAGUAGGGUCGGUUCAACAGACUGACCCGAUUACGUCCCUGCUCUUUGUACACACCGCCCGUCGCUCCUACCGAUUGGAUGUUCCGGUGAGGACUCAGGACUUUUGGUUUUUCCUGUGGUGAGGUUCUGCUUCAUUACAGAGCUAGAGGAAAUUUGUUCAAAUCUUAACAU
rnacentral:rRNA from 1 species